rfam:Danio rerio chromosome 4, GRCz11 reference primary assembly.
GCAUUGGUGGUUCAGUGGUAGAAUUCUCGCCUGCCAUGUGGGAGACCCGGGUCCGAUUCCCGGCCAAUGCA